AGGUGAAAAGUGUCCGUGUGUGUUAACCUCUUUUAAAGUGACUUUGAUCGUUGAAGUAUCUAAUUAGAGGCUAAGCAAAGGAAACAUGGAGUUCAGGGUUGCCAUUAUUUUGGUUGCAUGCAUAUCGUGCUUGGUGCCGAGCGUGAGGCCGGUGCCGGUGGUAAAGGUGGCAGC